UACGUAGGGUGCAGGCGUUAAUCGGAAUUACUGGGCGUAAAGCGUGCGCAGGCGGUUGUGCAAGACAGAUGUGAAAUCCCCGGGCUCAACCUGGGAACUGCAUCUGUGACUGCACGGCUGGAGUGCGGCAGAGGGGGAUGGAAUUCCGCGUGUAGCAGUGAAAUGCGUAGAUAUGCGGAGGAACACCGAUGGCGAAGGCAAUCCCCUGGGCCUGCACUGACGCUCAUGCACGAAAGCGUGGGGAGCAAACAGG
rnacentral:rRNA from 1 species